AUGUCGGAGCCGUGGCAACGUUCUCCGUGCAUCCCCGCUUGGGCGUCAUUUUAGACAUAUAUUCACAGACACGUGUACAUCUUUAUGCCCACACAGAAGGGUAACAGCAGCCUUGCUUCAGAGGCCACACCUUCCAGGAAACCCUUCAGCCUGCCGUGUCUUAGCUGAUCCCUCUGCCAUCCCCUUGCAGAAGGAGCUUGGAGUCUCUCAGCUCAGCUGGACUAGAUGAAUCUUCUCAGGGUCGUCUUCUCCCACCUCUGGCUCCCAGUUCCUUCCCCCAGUCUCUCCCUCCCUGCUCUGUGUGAUCAGGGAAGCUGCAAACCCAACCCUUACAUCAAAAGGGAACUUGAAAAAUACUUGGAGCAAAAACUGCUAACUGUGCAUCCUUGCUGUAUGCUGGCGCUGAUAUUAAAUCAGGAAAUGGCACUGAACAGCCGCUCCGAACACAGAAACAGGGGUUGUCAACACAGCAACCAAAAGCAAUCUCUAACGGGCAGAGGUGAAAGGGACCUGGCACAGGGCCAGGAGGGGGGCUGCAACCCAGGAAAGAAUUCCUGAGCUGAGUGUGUCUGUGCCACCUCUCCAGUGUCCAGAAUGAAGCCUGGAUCUCAGUCCCUGGCAUGGAAUGCACCUUGUCUCUCUCCAUGAGGGAUGAAAGAUAAUUAGAUAAUUAAGCAUGUUGCUUAAAUACCUUUGAAAUUCUCCUUUUUAUUUCCAUACAUGUUUACCGAGCACCCACUAUGUGCC
rnacentral:lncRNA from 1 species